rnacentral:rRNA from 1 species
UCGAGAAUCAUUCACAAUGGGCGAAAGCCUGAUGGUGCGACGCCGCGUGGAGGAUGAAGGCCCUCGGGUUGUAAACUCCUGUCAUCAGGGAGUAAAGCUCAGGCGUUAAUAGCGCCUCGGGCCUGAUAGUACCUGAAGAGGAAGGGGCGGCAAACUCCGUGCCAGCAGCCGCGGUAACACGGAGGCCCCGAGCGUUGUUCGGAUUUACUGGGCGUAAAGCGUGCGUAGGCGGCUGGGUAAGUCAGAUGUGAAAGCCCGGGGCUCAACCCCGGAACUGCAUCCGAUACUGCCCGGCUCGAGGAUUGGAGAGGAGACUGGAAUUCACGGUGUAGCAGUGAAAUGCGUGGAUAUCGUGAGGAAGACCAAUGGCGAAGGCAGGUCUCUGGACAAUACCUGACGC